rnacentral:lncRNA from 1 species
ACUGAAAUAAAUAUUUUGUGGAUUACAUUUUGCAGUGAGAACUCAAUGCAUAAGGAAGAAAUUAAAAACUAAUGAGUAACACCGACAGAUGAGGAGCUCAGAUGAUCCUAUGCAUUGAUAACCCAUGCGUGUGUGCUACUAUAUCCUAUACUAACUGAACAAUAGAAAAUCCAUAUUUUAAGGUUCUUUUAAGUUAUAAAGAAAAUAUACUAGAUUCUAGAGUGCAGAAAGUUUGGUCAGACUCUCCCAGAAGAAACUACAGGCUUUUCGUCUAAUGGAAUGCAAUUUUGCCUCAUUACAUAAGCUAUAUUCAUAUAUACAUACGUCAAGAAGAAUAAGAUUGCUCAAAAUGACUGGCAGUCAAGAUCAAAAUAGAUUUGAGUUUGAAGGAUAUAUGAUCAUUCCCCUCAAUGAGAUAUCCAAGAGUAGUUUACAACAGGAGACAUCUAGGAAAAGAAUCUGAUAGGCCUCCAAUUCUAGAAGAGCCCGGAAGAAUUGAGAAGAAUGUGCAGCAACAGAACUUUGUUAUUAUGGCAAACCGGGAAAGGGGGGAGGGGAGCUGUUAGAAAAGGUCUAUAAAUAGAGGGGCAAACUGUAGUAGUAGGAGGGGGAAUAGUUGUUACCUUGUUCUGUUUUGCAUUUCUUUGUAAUUCUCUUAGAAUUCAAUAAUAAUUCUCAGUUUUUACUUUCUUCCAAUGGAGUCCUAUCAGAAUCUAAGGGUGUGUUUGAUUACAUUUAUUUUCCAUGGAAAAUAUCAGUUUUCCAUCCAAAUUUUUACUUUGAGUGUUUGAUUGCUAUUUUUUUCCAUGGAAAACAUUUUCCAACUUUUGAAAAUAUGCCUAAUUUUCCUUGUUUUUAAGGAAAAUAUUUUCCUUGGGUAGAGGUGGUUUUUAUUUUCCACAAAAGAUGGAAAAUAUUUUCUUUUCUAUGUAAUAUUUUCCAUGUCAAUCAAACACACCCUAAGAGUAGAAAUCUCUUUUCCCUGUGUUAGACAGGGACGAGGAUAUGACUAGUAUAUUAGAAAAUCAAUAAAAGAGAAUGAUUGAUUUGAAUUUUGCCUUAUUGAUUUGAAUUUUGCCUUAUUGAUUUGAAUUUUGCCUUACUAUCCAUAUUCGAUCAAAAUUCUGGAGAGGUUGGAGAGUUGAUGCUCGAAUUUGACUGGUGGCCUUUUCUAAUAGGUUAAAUUAGUCUAUUGAUCUAUACAGAAGACAUUUUAAACGACAAAGUUAAAAGAUGAUAAUUUUGCACUUUGACCAUCUUGAGAUGACAAUUUUGAAUCAUGAUACUCCUAAAGUUGCAUUAAUGCAGCAUCCAUAUUUUUUCUAGAAACAAAAGUAAGGGUACUCCAAUUGACAACAGCACAACAAGGUAGAACAAAUUUCCGUAGUUGUCGUCCAGGAGAACAACAAAAUUGGCAUUUUUGCCACAAUAGUGUUAAGUUUACAAGAAUAUUAAUAAACUCUAGAGCUUCCGUUUCAAGUCAACUUCCUUUUAUUUUUCUGUUUAUUUUUCUUUUGAGCACAAGACCCCAAUAAUUUAAAGACCCAAAAACUUUUGUGGACAUUAGAAAUUGUUGAUAUUUACGUGUCAAUAGUGGAGUUGAAAUCAAGCCUUUGUUCUGCAAGAGAGUGCACAUGUAAGUCUGCUCAGCCUUCCACAGGAAAAGGGGUGGAUAGCAGACCACGCUCUGUUGCCUUAGUCCAUGUCUGGAUUUACAGAGAAGUCGAACUAGAAGAGUUUUAACUUAAUUCUGUUCUUGCCUACCUGAAGCAUGAUGGCCAAAGUGGUAUUUGUAGACAAGAAGGGAUGUCUUCUAAACAUACUAUAGGCAUGGAUUUGUCUUACCUCGAGUAACUCCUAGUGGUUACUACCUAUGUUCGCAGGUGACCUCAAAAGGGAGAAUUAUUAAAGUUCUACCAUUGGCUUUCCAAUGAAUAUCCCUUCAACUCGCAUUAAACGCAUACGACUGCAAUAAUGAACAAUUAGCUGUUCUAUACUAACGUAGGAUUCACGAUUUGGGAUGACCUAAGCGGGAUGGUUUCACAUAAAUGCAACUUGUUGGCUGGUUACUUUAGGAUAUAACCUUAAAUAGAUCUAUCCUGAAGCUAGCCAGCUUCAAAUCAGUCAGAACAACCCAACUUUGGAUCAACAAAUCCUUUUUCAAAUAAUUACACUUUGAUUUUUCACUCUCAUAACUAUAAUCAUAUAACAUCUUUCGAAUUUUUUUUAUUACUAUAAUAAACAUAAUGUAGAACAAUUAACAACAUUUAA